rnacentral:rRNA from 1 species
AUACAGAGGUUGCAAGCGUUGUUCGGAUUCAUUGGGCGUAAAGGGUGUGUAGGUGGUCAUGUUAGUCAGAUGUGAAGUACCGAGGCUUAACCUCGGAACUGCAUUUGAUACUGCAAGACUAGAGUAUGUUAGGGGAAAGGGGAAUUCCAGGUGUAAGGGUGAAAUCUGCAGAUAUCUGGAGGAACACCAGUGGCGAAGGCGCCUUUCUGGAACAAUACUGACACUGAGACACGAAAGCUAGGGUAGCAAACGGGAUUAGAAACCCGGGUAGUCC